ACGCUGGCGGCGUGCCUAAUACAUGCAAGUAGAACGCUGAAGGAGGAGCUUGCUUCUCUGGAUGAGUUGCGAACGGGUGAGUAACGCGUAGGUAACCUGCCUGGUAGCGGGGGAUAACUAUUGGAAACGAUAGCUAAUACCGCAUAACAGUAGAUGUUGCAUGACAUUUGCUUAAAAGGUGCAAUUGCAUCACUACCAGAUGGACCUGCGUUGUAUUAGCUAGUUGGUGGGGUAACGGCUCACCAAGGCGACGAUACAUAGCCGACCUGAGAGGGUGAUCGGCCACACUGGGACUGAGACACGGCCCAGACUCCUACGGGAGGCAGCAGUAGGGAACCUUCGGCAAUGGACGGAAGUCUGACCGAGCAACGCCGCGUGAGUGAAGAAGGUUUUCGGAUCGUAAAGCUCUGUUGUAAGAGAAGAACAGGUGUGAGAGUGGAAAGUUCACACUGUGACGGUAUCUUACCAGAAAGGGACGGCUAACUACGUGCCAGCAGCCGCGGUAAUACGUAGGUCCCGAGCGUUGUCCGGAUUUAUUGGGCGUAAAGCGAGCGCAGGCGGUUAGAUAAGUCUGAAGUUAAAGGCUGUGGCUUAACCAUAGUACGCUUUGGAAACUGUUUAACUUGAGUGCAAGAGGGGAGAGUGGAAUUCCAUGUGUAGCGGUGAAAUGCGUAGAUAUAUGGAGGAACACCGGUGGCGAAAGCGGCUCUCUGGCUUGUAACUGACGCUGAGGCUCGAAAGCGUGGGGAGCAAACAGGAUUAGAUACCCCUGGUAGUCCACGCCGUAAACGAUGAGUGCUAGGUGUUAGACCCUUUCCGGGGUUUAGUGCCGCAGCUAACGCAUUAAGCACUCCGCCUGGGGAGUACGACCGCAAGGUUGAAACUCAAAGGAAUUGAC
rnacentral:rRNA from 1 species